rnacentral:rRNA from 1 species
UACGGGGGGGGCAAGCGUUGUUCGGAAUUACUGGGCGUAAAGGGCUCGUAGGCGGCCAACUAAGUCAGACGUGAAAUCCCUCGGCUUAACCGGGGAACUGCGUCUGAUACUGGAUGGCUUGAGAUUGGGAGAGGGAUGCGGAAUUCCAGGUGUAACGGUGAAAUGCGUAGAUAUCUGGAGGAACACCGGUGGCGAAGGCGGCAUCCUGGACCAACACUAACGCUGAGGAGCGAAAGCCAGGGGAGCAAACGGG